rnacentral:rRNA from 1 species
CGGUACUCUAUCAGGCUUGUUGGUGUGGUAAUGUAUCACCAAGGCUUAGAACGGGUAGAGGUCCUGCGAGGGCGACCGGCCACGUUGGGAGCGAGAUACGGCCCAGUAUCUAAUCGGGAGGUAGCAGUGGGGAAUAUUGCACAAAGGGUCCAAGCCGGAUGCAGGAACGCCGCGUGCGGGAGGUGUUCCUCCGGAUAUUAAACCAUUUUCAGUAGGCACCAAGAAAACCAGUCUCCCCUUCCAGAAGAAGGCCUGGCUAAAUAGGUGCCAGCAGCCCAGGUGAUAUGUAGGUUCCGACAGUCGUCCGGACUUAUUGCGUGUAAACUCUUUGUAGGCAAUAAAUCCGGUCAGGAGUGAAAACUCGGGGCUUAACCCCGAGCCUGCACGUAGUCGGGCGGACUAGAGGGAUGCAGGGGAGAACGGAAUUCUUGUCCAGCGGAAAGAGCGCACAUAUCAGGAGGAACACUGGUGGCGAAGGCGGUUCUGCAUCCAUCACUCGCCCAGAGAAGAUAAAGCCCGGGGAGCCCUCCGGUUGGGAUCCCGGCGUAGUCCCCGCCCCAACGGUCCGCUCUCCCUGUCGGGGACAUUCCACGUUUUUCGCCCUGUACUACAGCCCCCACCACCAAGCUGAGGAGUCCGGA